AACGAACGCUGGCGGCAUGCCUAACACAUGCAAGUCGAACGAGAUCUUCGGGUCUAGUGGCGCACGGAUGCGUAACGUGUGGGAAUCUGCCCUUUGGUUCGGAAUAACAGUUGGAAACGACUGCUAAUACCGGAUGAUGACGAAAGUCCAAAGAUUCAUCGCCAGAGGAUGAGCCCGCGUAGGAUUAGCUAGUUGGUGUGGUAAAGGCGCACCAAGGCGACGAUCCUUAGCUGGUCUGAGAGGAUGAUCAGCCACACUGGGACUGAGACACGGCCCAGACUCCUACGGGAGGCAGCAGUGGGGAAUAUUGGACAAUGGGCGAAAGCCUGAUCCAGCAAUGCCGCGUGAGUGAUGAAGGCCUUAGGGUUGUAAAGCUCUUUUACCCGGGAUGAUAAUGACAGUACCGGGAGAAUAAGCUCCGGCUAACUCCGUGCCAGCCGCCGCAGUAA
rnacentral:rRNA from 1 species